rnacentral:rRNA from 1 species
UACGUAGGGUGCGAGCGUUGUCCGGAAUUAUUGGGCGUAAAGGGCUCGUAGGCGGUCUGUUGCGUCGGGAGUGAAAACUCAGGGCUUAACCCUGAGCCUGCUUCCGAUACGGGCAGACUAGAGGUAUGCAGGGGAGAACGGAAUUCCUGGUGUAGCGGUGAAAUGCGCAGAUAUCAGGAGGAACACCGGUGGCGAAGGCGGUUCUCUGGGCAUUACCUGACGCUGAGGAGCGAAAGUGUGGGGAGCGAAC